CCCUUAGAUGUUCUGGGCUGCACGCGCGCUACACUGAAGCGUUCAACGAGUAUUCACCUUGCCCGGGAGGGUUGGGUAAUCUUUUCAAAACGCUUCGUGAUGGGGAUAGAUUAUUGCAAUUAUUAAUCUUCAACGAGGAAUUCCUAGUAAGCGCGAGUCAUCAGCUCGUGCUGAUUACGUCCCUGCCCUUUGUACACACCGCCCGUCGCUCCCACCGAUUGAGUGAUCCGGUGAAUAAUUCGGACUGCAGCAGGCCUGGUCUCCGGGUUUUGCAGCGGAAAGUUUAGUGAACCUUAUCACUUAGAGGAAGGAGAAGUCGUAACA
rnacentral:rRNA from 1 species